rnacentral:rRNA from 1 species
UACGGAGGGUGCAAGCGUUAUCCGGAUUCACUGGGUUUAAAGGGUGCGUAGGUGGGCUGGUAAGUCAGUGGUGAAAUCUCCAGGCUUAACUUGGAAACUGCCAUUGAUACUAUCAGUCUUGAAUACCGUGGAGGUCAGCGGAAUAUGUCAUGUAGCGGUGAAAUGCUUAGAUAUGACAUAGAACACCAAUUGCGAAGGCAGCUGGCUACACGAAUAUUGACACUGAUGCACGAAAGCGUGGGGACUAAACAGG